rnacentral:rRNA from 1 species
AGACCCGAAACCCGGUGAUCUAGCCAUGGGCAGGUUGAAGGUUGGGUAACACUAACUGGAGGACCGAACCGACUAAUGUUGAAAAAUUAGCGGAUGACCUGUGGCUGGGGGUGAAAGGCCAAUCAAACCGGGAGAUAGCUGGUUCUCCCCGAAAGCUAUUUAGGUAGCGCCUCGUGAAUUCAUCUCCGGGGGUAGAGCACUGUUUCGGCUAGGGGGCCAUCCCGGCUUACCAACCCGAUGCAAACUGCGAAUACCGGAGAAUGUUAUCACGGGAGACACACGGCGGGUGCUAACGUCCGUCGUGAAGAGGGAAACAACCCAGACCGCCAGCUAAGGUCCCAAAGUCAUGGUUAAGUGGGAAACGAUGUGGGAAGGCCCAGACAGCCAGGAUGUUGGCUUAGAAGCAGCCAUCAUUUAAAGAAAGCGUAAUAGCUCACUGGUCGAGUCGGCCUGCGCGGAAGAUGUAACGGGGCUAAACCAUGCACCGAAGCUGCGGCAGCGACGCUUAUGCGUUGUUGGGUAGGGGAGCGUUCUGUAAGCCUGUGAAGGUGUGUCGUGAGGCAUGCUGGAGGUAUCAGAAGUGCGAAUGCUGACAUAAGUAACGAUAAAGCGGGUGAAAAGCCCGCUCGCCGGAAGACCAAGGGUUCCUGUCCAACGUUAAUCGGGGCAGGGUGAGUCGACCCCUAAGGCGAGGCCGAAAGGCGUAGUCGAUGGGAAACGGGUUAAUAUUCCCGUACUUGGUGUUACUGCGAAGGGGGGACGGAGAAGGCUAUGUUGGCCGGGCGACGGUUGUCCCGGUUUAAGCGUGUAGGUGUGUGUUCCAGGUAAAUCCGGUUCACUUUAACACUGAGGCGUGACGACGAGGCACUACGGUGCUGAAGCAACAAAUGCCCUGCUUCCAGGAAAAGCCUCUAAGCAUCAGGUAACAUCAAAUCGUACCCCAAACCGACACAGGUGGUCAGGUAGAGAAUACCAAGGCGCUUGAGAGAACUCGGGUGAAGGAACUAGGCAAAAUGGUGCCGUAACUUCGGGAGAAGGCACGCUGACAUGUAGGUGAAGUGAUUUACUCAUGGAGCUGAAGUCAGUCGAAGAUACCAGCUGGCUGCAACUGUUUAUUAAAAACACAGCACUGUGCAAACACGAAAGUGGACGUAUACGGUGUGACGCCUGCCCGGUGCCGGAAGGUUAAUUGAUGGGGUCAGCGCAAGCGAAGCUCCUGAUCGAAGCCCCGGUAAACGGCGGCCGUAACUAUAACGGUCCUAAGGUAGCGAAAUUCCUUGUCGGGUAAGUUCCGACCUGCACGAAUGGCGUAAUGAUGGCCAGGCUGUCUCCACCCGAGACUCAGUGAAAUUGAACUCGCUGUGAAGAUGCAGUGUACCCGCGGCAAGACGGAAAGACCCCGUGAACCUUUACUAUAGCUUGACACUGAACAUUGAGCCUUGAUGUGUAGGAUAGGUGGGAGGCUUUGAAGUGUGGACGCCAGUCUGCAUGGAGCCGACCUUGAAAUACCACCCUUUAAUGUUUGAUGUUCUAACGUGGACCCGUUAUCCGGGUUGCGGACAGUGUCUGGUGGGUAGUUUGACUGGGGCGGUCUCCUCCUAAAGAGUAACGGAGGAGCACGAAGGUUGGCUAAUCCUGGUCGGACAUCAGGAGGUUAGUGCAAUGGCAUAAGCCAGCUUGACUGCGAGCGUGACGGCGCGAGCAGGUGCGAAAGCAGGUCAUAGUGAUCCGGUGGUUCUGAAUGGAAGGGCCAUCGCUCAACGGAUAAAAGGUACUCCGGGGAUAACAGGCUGAUACCGCCCAAGAGUUCAUAUCGACGGCGGUGUUUGGCACCUCGAUGUCGGCUCAUCACAUCCUGGGGCUGAAGUAGGUCCCAAGGGUAUGGCUGUUCGCCAUUUAAAGUGGUACGCGAGCUGGGUUUAGAACGUCGUGAGACAGUUCGGUCCCUAUCUGCCGUGGGCGCUGGAGAACUGAGGGGGGCUGCUCCUAGUACGAGAGGACCGGAGUGGACGCAUCACUGGUGUUCGGGUUGUCAUGCCAAUGGCACUGCCCGGUAGCUAAAUGCGGAAGAGAUAAGUGCUGAAAGCAUCUAAGCACGAAACUUGCCCCGA